GGGAGCUUGCUCCCUGAUGUUAGCGGCGGACGGGUGAGUAACACGUGGGUAACCUGCCUGUAAGACUGGGAUAACUCCGGGAAACCGGGGCUAAUACCGGAUGGUUGUUUGAACCGCAUGGUUCAAACAUAAAAGGUGGCUUCGGCUACCACUUACAGAUGGACCCGCGGCGCAUUAGCUAGUUGGUGAGGUAACGGCUCACCAAGGCAACGAUGCGUAGCCGACCUGAGAGGGUGAUCGGCCACACUGGGACUGAGACACGGCCCAGACUCCUACGGGAGGCAGCAGUAGGGAAUCUUC
rnacentral:rRNA from 1 species